GCGCCAGUAGCCCAACGGAUUAGAGCAUCUGACUACGGAUCAGAAGGUUGCAGGUUCGAAUCCUGUCUGGCGCAC
rnacentral:tRNA from 2 species